UGUAAACAUCCCCGACUGGAAGCUGUAGCAGUUCUAGCUUUCAGUCAGAUGUUUGCU
rnacentral:pre_miRNA from 1 species